AGAGAGAACCAAGCAAAAGACCAAAGGCAGAUGAGAACAGGAAGCCAUUGUUACAUCGAUGCUUCUGGUUCAAGUUUCUCUCGUCCAUCAAUGGAGAAAUUGAGUCUCUUCUUAAAAGAAGAGUACAAGGAUGGUGUUGAGGAUGAUGAGGAGUAUGUAUGAAAAAUGUAUUUGUGUGAGUUAUUCUUAUAAAAUGAUACUUUCUAUAAUGUUUCACUAGAAUUCUUAUAUUUGUAUCUUAAAAAUAUCUUCUUUUUUUCUUUUUGUACAUGUAUAUAAUUGUAAAAUAUAUUUUUAACUACAAUGGAAACAUAAUUACUGUACUAAUUAUAAAGUACUAUAGCUUUGAUCACUUUUGGUUUUAUGUUGCUAUAUGAGAAUAUAGAGAAUUUUAUUCAUUUUUAUCUUUCUUUUUUAGGUAUAAUACUAGCAAUUCAAUAAAUCAUCUCAAAUAAUUAUUUAGGUAAGUUUCCUUAUUACCAUUACUUUUUAAUUUUCUUAGAAAUAUACUGAUCAUUUAUGAUGUUGAUUUCCAUUUGUCUGGGUUUUGAAUUCUUGAGAUACAUUUUACUUAUGUUGUUAUGUUUGCCCAUAAUAUUCAAUAGAGCCUCUAGUGAAGACAUUUUAACAAAAUUCUUGAAGUGAAUAAUUCUAAUUCUGUUGGUAAAUCAGAAUUGUUCUUAUUGGUACCCUAUACCAUUAGUGUUUUUAACUUCAUGUUAAUUUUAUUUAAUUGUUAGAUGAGUUUCAAUACUUGAUGAUACAACUAAUAGAAUUAUUUCACAUUUCUCUCUUGCAUACUCUAUCAAUGACUGACUAUAUAUAAACUUUUUUCUUCACUUGCAAACUUUUGCUGAUAUCUUUUUCUCUUUUCUUCUUAUAUUAACAGGAUUUUAGCUGUUUAUGUUGGACAUUGAAGGGAAAUGAAGAGAUUUUUGAUACUUAAACCAUACUUCAUUUCGAAGGGUUUCUAUAUCAAGCCGAAAAAGAAUUCGGAUUUAGGAGGCCUCACAUAUAGUUCCAUGUAGAGAGGACGUCGUCAUCAAUCUGGUUUCUUGAAUAUUUCAAUUUGUUGCUCCAAAGUUUUAUUGCAAACAAUAUUGGGUGUAUAUAUUUUUUCUGGUGUCUUAAAAGUAUUAUAACUAUAGUCUAAAUAAGAUUAAUAAGCUUAGAUUACAGCUUUUAGAAGUACUUGAACAAAACCAUGUGUGCUCCAAACUAAGUCCAUCUCUUGAGAUUGGACACCUCCAAUCUAAGUCUCCAAACUCUAGAUUUAUAUUCGUGGUGCAGGGUGAUUUUUAGGUAAUUUUUCAAACAAAAUUGCACAUACGGUUUUUCGUAAUCUUCUAAACCGCAAUAGCACUGCAAGAGCUCAAAACUGCAAAAAUCACACCACCAAAAUGUGAUGCGGUGUGACUAUUUGUACUAUCACAAAAUAAUUAAAUUUUUAAUAUUUGAAAGGAAAUAGUAAUUAAUUGUUCAA